rnacentral:tRNA from 1 species
AAGGUUUUAAGUUAAGUUAAACUAAUAAUCUUCAAAAUUGUUUAUAAAGAAUUCCCUUUAAGCCUUAG